GGAGCAAUCCUGGUGGCGAGUGGCGAACGGGUGAGUAAUGUAUCGGAACGUACCUUUCAGUGGGGGAUAACGUAGCGAAAGUUACGCUAAUACCGCAUAUUCUGUGAGCAGGAAAGCAGGGGAUCGCAAGACCUUGCGCUGAUUGAGCGGCCGAUAUCAGAUUAGCUAGUUGGUGAGGUAAAGGCUCACCAAGGCGACGAUCUGUAGCGGGUCAGAGGAUGAUCCGCCACACUGGAACUGAGACACGGUCCAGACUCCUACGGGAGGCAGCAGUGGGGAAUUUUGGACAAUGGGCGCAAGCCUGAUCCAGCCAUGCCGCGUGAGUGAAGAAGGCCUUCGGGUUGUAAAGCUCUUUCAGCCGGGAAGAAAACGCAUGGGUUAAUACCCUGUGUGGAUGACGGUACCGGAAUAAGAAGCACCGGCUAACUACGUGCCAGCAGCCGCGGUAAUACGUAGGGUGCGAGCGUUAAUCGGAAUUACUGGGCGUAAAGCGUGCGCAGGCGGUUUGUUAAGAUAGGCGUGAAAUCCCCGGGCUCAACCUGGGAACUGCGUUUAUGACUGGCAGGCUAGAGUAUGGCAGAGGGGGGUGGAAUUCCACGUGUAGCAGUGAAAUGCGUAGAGAUGUGGAGGAACACCGAUGGCGAAGGCAGCCCCCUGGGCCAAUACUGACGCUCAUGCACGAAAGCGUGGGUAGCAAACAGGAUUAGAUACCCUGGUAGUCCACGCCCUAAACGAUGUCAACUAGGUGUUGGGAGGGUAAAACCUUUUAGUACCGGAGCUAACGCGUGAAGUUGACCGCCUGGGGAGUACGGCCGCAAGGUUAAAACUCAAAGGAAUUGACGGGGACCCGCACAAGCGGUGGAUGAUGUGGAUUAAUUCGAUGCAACGCGAAAAACCUUACCUACCCUUGACAUGUCCGGAAGCCCUUAGAGAUUUGGGUGUGCUCGAAAGAGAGCCGGAACACAGGUGCUGCAUGGCUGUCGUCAGCUCGUGUCGUGAGAUGUUGGGUUAAGUCCCGCAACGAGCGCAACCCUUGACGUUAAUUGCCAUCAUUCAGUUGGGCACUUUAACGAGACUGCCGGUGACAAACCGGAGGAAGGUGGGGAUGACGUCAAGUCCUCAUGGCCCUUAUGGGUAGGGCUUCACACGUCAUACAGUGGUCGGUACAAAGGGUCGCCAACCCGCGAGGGGGAGCUAAUCCCAGAAAGCCGAUCGUAGUCCGGAUCGUAGGCUGCAACUCGCCUGCGUGAAGUCGGAAUCGCUAGUAAUCGUGGAUCAGCAUGUCACGGUGAAUACGUUCCCGGGUCUUGUACACACCGCCCGUCACACCAUGGGAGCGGGUUCCGCCAGAAGUAGGUAGCCUAACCGCAAGGGGGGCGCUUACCACGGCGGGGUUCGUGACUGGGGUGAAGUCGUAACAAGGUA
rnacentral:rRNA from 1 species